rnacentral:rRNA from 1 species
UGCCUUAGUAACGGCGAGUGAAGCGGCAACAGCUCAAAUUUGAAAGCUGGCCCUUUUAGGGUCCGCGUUGUAAUUUGUAGAGGAUGAUUCGGCGAGGGCUCCCGCCUAAGUCCCCUGGAACGGGGCGUCAUAGAGGGUGAGAAUCCCGUAUGCGGUGGGUUGCCUUAGCCAUGUGAAUCUCCUUCGACGAGUCGAGUUGUUUGGGAAUGCAGCUCUAAAUGGGAGGUAAAUUUCUUCUAAAGCUAAAUACCGGCCAGAGACCGAUAGCGCACAAGUAGAGUGAUCGAAAGAUGAAAAGCACUUUGGAAAGAGAGUUAAAAAGUACGUGAAAUUGUUGAAAGGGAAGCGCUUGCAACCAGACUUGUCCGCAGUUGCUCAGCCGGUCUCCUGACCGGCGUACUCUUCUGCGGCCAGGCCAGCAUCAGUUCGGGCGGUCGGAUAAAGACCUCGGGAAUGUAGCUCCUCUCGGGGAGUGUUAUAGCCCGGGGUGGAAUGCGGCCAGCCUGGACUGAGGAUCUCGCUUCGGCAAGGAUGCUGGCGUAAUGGUUGUAAGCGGCCCGUCUUGAAACACGGACCAAGGAGUCUAACAUCUAUGCGAGUGUUCGGGUGUCAAACCCGUACGCGUAAUGAAAGUGAACGGAGGUGGGAACCCGCAAGGGUGCACCAUCGGCCGAUCCUGAUGUCUUCGGAUGGAUUUGAGCAAGAGCAUAGCUGUUGGGACCCGAAAGAUGGUGAACUAUGCCUGAAUAGGGUGAAGCCAGAGGAAACUCUGGUGGAGGCUCGCAGCGGUUCUGACGUGCAAAUCGAUCGUCAAAUUUGGGUAUAGGGGCGAAAGACUAAUCGAACCAUCUAG